rnacentral:tRNA from 1 species
GGGAAUGUGGCUUAGUGGUAGAGUACUUGCCUAGCAUGCAUGAAGACCUGGGUUCGAUUCCUCAGUACCA